UCAAAGUGUUUUUCUUUCAUUAAACUAAAGACUUUUGUUUUCUUUCAGAGGAGAAGAAGCCAAAAAUUCAACCUGCAGUAAAAUCUACAGAACCUGCUGCUGCUGAUUUACCAAAUGGUGAAGCAGCAGCUCACUCACACUUCUGUGUGGUGAUGUUGUGUUUGGGGAUAUUUUGUGUCCUCCUGGUGGCCAGAAUCAUCAUCGUCAGUCAGAUCUCCAUGGUAACAAAGGACCAGAAAGCAACAAUCAGAAACCUUGAGAACAAAAUUCAGAACCUGACUGAUGAAAACACAAAGUUGAUGAAUGAGACUGACCAGCUGAACAGAACUCUGGAUUUCAUCCUGACCUUUGACACUUUUCCAGUCAAAGACUUCUGUCCAAACAAAAGUAAGUUUUUAUUAUGAUGAC